rnacentral:pre_miRNA from 1 species
ACAACCAGCACUGCACUGCAUCUUCCCUGUGCCAUCUUCGUCGAUUGUCUCGUACCGAAAGUGAUUCAACCACAGCGAGAUCAGACUCAACUGUUAAAGCUGAUGACACUGAUACGAGAUGAUGAAGACAUAGGCAGGGCAGCCAGUG